GUGGCUGGAGAUGCUCAUGGUCUAUCCCCGGACCAACAAGCAGAAUCAGAAGAAGAAACGGAAAGUGGAGCCCCCCACACCACAGGAGCCUGGGCCUGCCAAGGUGGCUGUUACCAGCAGCAGCAGCAGCAGCAGCAGCAUCCCCAGUGCUGAGAAAGUCCCCACCACCAAGUCCACACUCUGGCAGGAAGAAAUGAGAACCAAGGACCAGCCAGAUGGCAGCAGCCUGAGUCCAGCUCAGAGUCCCAGCCAGAGUCAGCCUCCUGCUGCCAGCUCCCUGCGGGAACCUGGGCUGGAGAGCAAAGAAGACUGGGGAGCGCCUUUGCCUUUAAAGCCAGCAGGCAAUAUGCCACCCUGGCCGACGUCCCUAAGGCCAUCAGGAUCAGCCACCGAGAAGCCUUCCAGGUGGAGAGAAGGCGGCUGGAGCGUAGAACUCGGGCCCGGAGCCCUGGCAGGGAGGAGGUGGCCCGUCUGUUUGGCA
rnacentral:sRNA from 1 species